rnacentral:rRNA from 1 species
GGUUAAGUGAAUAAGGGCGCACGGUGGAUGCCUUGGCACUAGGAGCCGAUGAAGGACGGGACUAACACCGAUAUGCUUUGGGGAGCUGUAAGUAAGCUAUGAUCCAGAGAUUUCCGAAUGGGGGAACCCAAUAUCUUUUAUAGGAUAUUACUUUUCAGUGAAUACAUAGCUGAUUAGAGGUAGACGCAGAGAACUGAAACAUCUUAGUAUCUGCAGGAAGAGAAAGAAAAUUCGAUUCCCUGAGUAGCGGCGAGCGAAACGGGAAGAGCCCAAACCAACAAGCUUGCUUGUUGGGGUUGUAGGACUCCAAUAUGGUAGUCUGUUAGUAUAGUUGAAGGAUUUGGAAAAUUCCGCUAAAGAGGGUGAAAGCCCCGUAGACGAAAUGCUGACAACACCUAGGAGGAUCCUGAGUACGGCGGAACACGAGAAAUUCCGUCGGAAUCCGCGGGGACCAUCCCGCAAGGCUAAAUACUCCCUAGUGACCGAUAGUGAACCAGUACCGUGAGGGAAAGGUGAAAAGCACCCCGGAAGGGGAGUGAAAUAGAUCCUGAAACCGUGUGCCUACAACAAGUCAAAGCUCGUUAAUGAGUGAUGGCGUGCCUUUUGUAGAAUGAACCGGCGAGUUACGAUUGCAUGCGAGGUUAAGUCGAAGAGACGGAGCCGCAGCGAAAGCGAGUCUGAAUAGGGCGAAUGAGUAUGUAGUCGUAGACCCGAAACCAUGUGAUCUACCCAUGUCCAGGUUGAAGGUGCGGUAAAACGCACUGGAGGACCGAACCCACGUACGUUGAAAAGUGCGGGGAUGAGGUGUGGGUAGCGGAGAAAUUCCAAACGAACUUGGAGAUAGCUGGUUCUCUCCGAAAUAGCUUUAGGGCUAGCCUCGGAAUUGAGAAUGAUGGAGGUAGAGCACUGUUUGGACUAGGGGCCCAUCUCGGGUUACCGAAUUCAGAUAAACUCCGAAUGCCAUUCAUUUAUAUCCGGGAGUCAGACUGCGAGUGAUAAGAUCCGUAGUCGAAAGGGAAACAGCCCAGACCACCAGCUAAGGUCCCAAAAUAUAUGUUAAGUGGAAAAGGAUGUGGGGUUGCACAGACAACUAGGAUGUUGGCUUAGAAGCAGCCACCAUUUAAAGAGUGCGUAAUAGCUCACUAGUCGAGUGACCCUGCGCCGAAAAUGUACCGGGGCUAAACAUAUUACCGAAGCUGUGGACUACACCAUUAGGUGUAGUGGUAGGAGAGCGUUCUAAGGGCGUUGAAGGUCGAUCGUGAGGACGGCUGGAGCGCUUAGAAGUGAGAAUGCCGGUAUGAGUAGCGAAAGACAGGUGAGAAUCCUGUCCACCGUAUGACUAAGGUUUCCUGGGGAAGGCUCGUCCGCCCAGGGUUAGUCGGGACCUAAGCCGAGGCCGAUAGGCGUAGGCGAUGGACAACAGGUUGAUAUUCCUGUACCAGUUGUUUUUGUUUGAGCAAUGGAGGGACGCAGUAGGCUAAGGAAUGCAUGCGAUUGGAAGUGCAUGUCCAAGCAAUGAGUCUUGAGUAGAGUUAAAUGCUUUACUCUCUAAGGACAAGUUGUGACGGGGAGCGAAAUAAUAGUAGCGAAGUUCCUGAUGUCACACUGCCAAGAAAAGCUUCUAGUGAGAAAACAACUGCCCGUACCGUAAACCGACACAGGUAGUCGAGGAGAGUAUCCUAAGGUGAGCGAGCGAACUCUCGUUAAGGAACUCGGCAAAAUGACCCCGUAACUUCGGGAGAAGGGGUGCUGACUUCGGUCAGCCGCAGUGAAUAGGCCCAAGCGACUGUUUAUCAAAAACACAGGUCUCUGCAAAAUCGUAAGAUGAAGUAUAGGGGCUGACGCCUGCCCGGUGCUGGAAGGUUAAGAGGAUGGGUUAGCUUCGGCGAAGCUCAGAAUUGAAGCCCCAGUAAACGGCGGCCGUAACUAUAACGGUCCUAAGGUAGCGAAAUUCCUUGUCGGGUAAGUUCCGACCCGCACGAAAGGCGUAACGAUUUGGGCACUGUCUCAACGAGAGACUCGGUGAAAUUUUAGUACCUGUGAAGAUGCAGGUUACCCGCGACAGGACGGAAAGACCCCAUGGAGCUUUACUGUAGUUUGAUAUUGAGUGUUUGUACCACAUGUACAGGAUAGGUAGGAGCCGAUGAGACCGGAACGCUAGUUUCGGAGGAGGCGCUGGUGGGAUACUACCCUUGUGUUAUGAACCCUCUAACCCGCACCACUAAUCGUGGUGGGAGACAGUGUCAGAUGGGCAGUUUGACUGGGGCGGUCGCCUCCUAAAAGGUAACGGAGGCGCCCAAAGGUUCCCUCAGAAUGGUUGGAAAUCAUUCGAAGAGUGUAAAGGCAGAAGGGAGCUUGACUGCGAGACCUACAAGUCGAGCAGGGACGAAAGUCGGGCUUAGUGAUCCGGUGGUUCCGCAUGGAAGGGCCAUCGCUCAACGGAUAAAAGCUACCCUGGGGAUAACAGGCUUAUCUCCCCCAAGAGUCCACAUCGACGGGGAGGUUUGGCACCUCGAUGUCGGCUCGUCGCAUCCUGGGGCUGUAGUCGGUCCCAAGGGUUGGGCUGUUCGCCCAUUAAAGCGGCACGCGAGCUGGGUUCAGAACGUCGUGAGACAGUUCGGUCCCUAUCCGUCGCGGGCGUUGGAAAUUUGAGAGGAGCUGUCCUUAGUACGAGAGGACCGGGAUGGACUUACCGCUGGUGUACCAGUUGUUCUGCCAAGGGCAUUGCUGGGUAGCUAUGUAGGGAAGGGAUAAACGCUGAAAGCAUCUAAGUGUGAAGCCCACCUCAAGAUGAGAUUUCCCAUUUCUUUAAGAAAGUAAGACCCCUGAGAGAUGAUCAGGUAGAUAGGUUGGAAGUGGAAGGCUAGUGAUAGUUGGAGCGGACCAAUACUAAUCGGUCGAGGACUUAACCAA